rnacentral:sRNA from 1 species
ACAGCAGAUGCAUGGGCAGCUGGCAGGUAAGGGUUGGGGCUGGGGCUCACGGGAGGCCCUGGAGGCUGGGCCUUCCCUUCCAACAGACUUCCCUCUCCAGGACUUCGGGCACGGAUGGCCAGCCUGCGUCAGGGCUGCGGGGACCUCCGAGGUUUGGUCAGCACCUUUACCCAGAGCUGUCAGGGUUCGCUGAGUGAGGCCCGGGGCCAGGUGUCCUGGGCCUUGGGGGCACUGUCAUCUGGAGGGCCUGACACUCAGCUCCCUGAGGGGCAGCAAGGGCCCCCAGCCGGAUGCCCAGGGCGGCUGCCAGAACUCAAGGG